rnacentral:rRNA from 1 species
GACGAACGCUGGCGGCGUGCCUAAUACAUGCAAGUCGAGCGGACUGAUGGGAGCUUGCUCCCUGAUGUCAGCGGCGGACGGGUGAGUAACACGUGGGCAACCUGCCUGUAAGACUGGGAUAACUUCGGGAAACCGGAGCUAAUACCGGAUAACUUCAAGAACCUCCUGGUUCUUGAAUAAAAGACGGUUUCGGCUGUCACUUACAGAUGGGCCCGCGGCGCAUUAGCUAGUUGGUGAGGUAACGGCUCACCAAGGCGACGAUGCGUAGCCGACCUGAGAGGGUGAUCGGCCACACUGGGACUGAGACACGGCCCAGACUCCUACGGGAGGCAGCAGUAGGGAAUCUUCCGCAAUGGACGAAAGUCUGACGGAGCAACGCCGCGUGAGCGAUGAAGGCCUUCGGGUCGUAAAGCUCUGUUGUUAGGGAAGAACAAGUACCAGAGUAACUGCUGGUACCUUGACGGUACCUAACCAGAAAGCCACGGCUAACUACGUGCCAGCCGCCGCAGUAAAAC